CUCAUAUUUCAGUUGUAUUAGUACAGUUGCUAUAUUUGGCCAAUGACUGUAGCCACACAUAGAGUGCGAUUGCACAAAUUUAUGAUUAUAAGAUCCUUCUGUUUAAUUCUUAUUGUGAUGUUAACCCGUGUCAAGAAGCCAACAUAAUCUAAUGUAGAAACUAAACGUUUACAAAAUAUCUUUCACGCCUUUUCAUUGUUGUCCAAAACCAUCAGACAAAAUUCACAUAUUAUUUAUGGGUUAAGUAAACAAUAUCGUAUCCUCAUUUUUAUUCUCAACUAACAUGGUCGAGGUAAUCCUUCGGGGUGAGUGACACCUAUCUAGGAUAGCAGCGGAGAAGUGAGCGGUGUGAAGAUUCAGUCUAAGGGACACUGGGGCCUUAAUUAGCAACCCACCUCUCUUACUCCUCCCUCUGACUCCUGCUGGCACCCACAGGCCCUGCCUCCUACAGUAAGAACAGCCUCCUGAAGGCGACCUGUUCUGAGGGACAGACCUCAGCUUGGCAGCAUUACUUCUGGAGGGACUGAGAGAUAUUGAAUUGAUUUCGAAAUAAAACUACUGCCAGAAGAAAUAAACAUUUCAAGAAUUUGUGGUGGGCGUUUGUACACGUGCCAUUUGUAAAUUGCGUACGGCCCCGUGCAUUAUGUGGCAUUAGCCUAAUAAAAGUCAUGUUUACCUUUAUGCAAGCGCUUUGUUUUUCAAAUAAUUUGAAAACUUGGGAGUGAGCACCCACACAAAAAGACGUCUUUUAAGUUGGGUUCUCAAAAUUUUACCCAUAAAUCUUGGCUAAUUACUCUUCAUCAUAGUAGUGUGACUUAUUUGUUUUAUUACGAUGAACCUCAUUACAGCACACAAUAAUUGUAAACAAUUAUUGUUUAGAGCCAAAAAGGAGCUGUGCUCACCAUGCACUCGGGACCAGCUAUCCGUAAGUGGAAUGUUCAAGCGUUCACAAGUAGGCUACACGCGUUGCCAGUGAGGUAGGGGGACUGCAUUGCAUUCCGAGCGGCCUAUUUCCAAGGAAGAGUUUUGCUAUGUGCUCUUCUGAUUCGUAUUCUGUUUCGAGAAAUAUAAGAUAAAAAUUGUGACAUCUCACGUCGCAUUUCUUUAUUUUCUUUUUUUCUUUUUUUCUUUUUUUGUCAAACGAGACGAUGCGCAAACACCGAUACAUGUAAUUGGCUGAGAGAGACACUGGCUUACUCACCGUCCAACUGUAUAUCUCCAUAGUCACAGUAUCUCCAUCAUGACUGGAAAUUGAACCGCUCGCGCUCUCCAUGUCAGGAGAAAAUUGAAGUGUUGAUCUACCAGACUGCAAACAAUACGAAAGAUGAUUGAUGACACUGACAAACUGAUAGAUCGCAACAAGUAAGCUAGGCUAGUAACAAUUCAAACACAAUGACAUUUGAUUAGGAAAGAAGCGAUGACAGAACACACUAGCCCAUACAAGAACACUGCUGGUCAGCUGUGUGGGUCACUAACAGGUUGGUAAGUAAUGAAAAUGCAAGCCACACAAACAGCAACACACAGGCAUACAAGGAUGGAGGGACAUUUAAGACAGACAGGAAAGCAGAGAGCAUAGUCAUACCAAAACCAUGCAAGGCUGUUGGACCAAAUGCUGAGCAGAAGUCGGAUAUAUACUCUCCAGCUGCUCUGCCCUAAAAGGCCAUGGACAUUUGUGCCAAAGUGCCCAUCCUGCCCCUUCCUGUGUCGCUUUGGGUGACCCAUUAAAUAUCUCAAACCAUUGUUUCAAACCACUGUGGCCUGUGUCUGGGCCUGUGCCUGUAAUUCAAAAUAUCUUUGCAAUGAGCUGUAUACAUAGACUCUGGGCAAGCUAUUAAUCUCUCUUCAUUGUUUACCUGUUACUCAUCACCUUUAUAUACCUGCUUCCAUAUCCCCUCUCCACAUUCCCCUCAUAUCUGUGCUUCUGGAAUCUUUCUGAUAGCCAGGGUGCUGAAGUUAAUAGGAUCUAGUCUUAUGAGGCACUUUUCUGCAUGGUGUAACUCUUGGCAAUAAAUAGUGGGGACAUUAUAAUUGACACAGAAUAUUGCAGUGGCACUGUAACUAGGAUAAGUAAGGCAUUUCAUUUUAAUCGAGCCCUUAUGCUGAGCGGUCUCCAUCUUUGCCUUGCAGAACUUUUAGUCUGAACACCAGUGCAGAACUAACCUAAUCUGAAUAUAAUACAAUCACCUUGGCAAUCACACAGCAGACUCUAAGUAUGUGGCCCUCAAAGUAUGGGCUGGUAAGCAUGAGGGAAAUGCACAUUGAGCAGUAAAAAAGCAAAAACAUAAAUGGAUUCAAUUAUGCAGAAAGUUCAUCUCCAGCAACAAUACUACUUUUUAAUCUGAAUUAAUUAAUAAAAAGAACAGCUCAUAGGUAACUAUUAUCCCAUUCAGUUAUUUUUUAUUAACUGACUAGCGAUUUACUAUCAAACUGUGCUGAAAUUGAUUCAUUCUACUGCUACUGUGAGGACAAGUUUAAAAUAAGAUUUUGUGACAGAAAAGUGAAAUUCUUGGCUAUAAUUCCUUGCUGUUGUUGUGACAUUGACAGAAAGAGUUUAGCAAGUUUUAGGCAUUCUAGCAUAUUUGUUUGUUUUCAAAAUGUUUCAUAUGUUAAAAUUUGAAAUUAUUUAGUCGUAAAUAAAAAAUAAUUGAUAUAAAAAGGCCAAACGUGAAAGAAAAAGGAUUGCAAAGCCCCCCCCACCCACCCACCACCACCAUCUAACUGAGAGUUUGGAGACAAUAGAGGCUGUUGACAGUGGUGCGCAGAUCACCUGGGAUUGACAGCAGCAGGUGAGAGGUAAUCUGCCUGGUGCAAGGGUACAUUAUUAAUGUCAUCUCUAACCCAAUGAAGCUACAGAAAUCCUCUAAAAUGCUAUUCAACAGAUUCAUUAAAGAAAGAAGAUGAAGGUAAAACGUAAUGUUUUAUAUCAGUAGCAAGUACUGUAGAUUUAAUCACACAGUUUCCCUAUAGGUUACAGUAAAUCCCUAGGUUGAAAAAUGUAAUGUAAUGUUAUUCCAGUAUCCUGUUGACAGGAGUACAAUUUAACUACAUAUCACACCUUUUACUCAUUGUCCAUUUAUACAAACUUCCUCGUCAAGUGGCCAUAAGCUAAAUUUACUAUACUGAAAUUUACAUAAAAUUAUGUACAAAAUCUUUUAUCAAUGGAAUAGAGGGCAGUCUUUUAUAAACGUGUAAAUAUUACCAGUUAUAUCAAGACAGAAGACAAAAUAAUUUUUCUAUAGUUUAUUUUCAAUUAAGUCAGAUCAGAGAAUUAUUAAGAUAAUUACAUCACUUGCUUUAUAGUUAAUAUAACAAUAACCAUUUGAGUCAUACAUUUUAUUACUGUUGUCAUUGUUAUUUAUUAUGAUUACCAUUUUGAGAAUAUGAGUGCAUCAAAAUGAAACUAAUGAAGACAGAAAGAGAACUUAAUAAGGACAGGUGACACCCCAUUGACCUCCCAACUCAACCCAUACAUUCCCAUUAUACGCUCAGUCUAUGUGUUCAGUCUAACCAGUCAUGAUAUGCUUCAAAUACUUUUCUCUAGAGGGGAGCUUGGAUGAGUUCAAAGGACAACUCAGCCUGUCCUCCAGAUGUGUACGUGAUUCAAGUGAGGCAAAACUUUCAAAGGUUAAAUGUACUAUCGAUGUGACUAUACUGACACGUUCAGAAAACCGAACCUCUACACACACUGCAAUUCUGCAGCAUUGUUUUCUCUUAAAGUCCAAGUCUCACAACACAGGCUUUGUUUAAAUGACAAAUAUAUUUAAUCAUAAUUUGAUUUGUAAAAAAUAAAAUAAAUAACUACAGCAGGGAUUUUAGUAAAGUCACAGCCAAGAUCAGAAUUUCAAAUUCAAGAAAGACCACAAUGAAAAGGCAGUGAGCCAGGUAUAAUAUUUUUUUUUCAUCUGAGGCAGAUAGUUAAUCCUGGUAACCAUUAAUAGCUUAUAUAUCUAGUGUAUAGCCAUGGGAAAAUACCACUAUUUACUGCCAUGACAACCUAGCAAGAAUGUUUUGUUCACUUAAAUACACCGAUCAGCCACAACAUUAAAACCACCUACCUAAUAUUGUGUAGGUCCCCUUUGUGCCGCCAAAACAGCUCUGACCCGUCGAGGCAUAGACUCAACCCCUAAAGGUGUCCUCUGGUAUAUUUGGAUUUCUGUAUAUAUUUGUAUCUACUGUAUAUUUGUAUCUGAUAUUUUGUAUCUAUUGUAAAUUUGUAUCUGAUUGUGUUACUUUGUUGUCUUUGAUGCUGCAACAGUGCAAAUUCCCCCCGGGGAUCAAUAAAGUACACUACUACUACUACUACUUAUUACAUUAUUGGUUUUUAUUACAUAAAAAAUUUGAAAUACAUUACAUUAUUGGGAGUUAUUACACCAUAGGUAGUUUAUUACAUUAUUAGUUGCUACAGGGCUAUAAAAAGCUACGAUAUUGUUAGAGGGUGAAUUAUUUCCACAUGAUUUUAAAAACUCUCGAAGGGUCAGAGCUGUUUUGGCGGCACAAGGGGGACCUACACAAUAUUAGGCAGGUGGUUUUAAUGUUGCGGCUGAUCGGUGUAUAUUUCAAAUUGCACUUAUUUAAAUAUAAAUUUUUUAAGCUCCCAGCAACACAUGCAUUUACCAGCCUAUUUAAUGCAAUCCCAGACAAUGUGAGCUAGCUAGCAAACCAAUUACCUAGAUUUGUAAAACAAGCCAGAAGACUUUGCCAUAGCCAUAUCCCUUGUAACUUUUGUCAAGGCAUUCUUCUUUCCAUGAGAGAAGGCAGAAAAGAAUUCUGAGUUUGAAUGAAAUGCCAUUUUACAAAUUCAACCUAGCAGACAAGAAUUAGACAGUAUCUAUAAUGAUGGAUAAUAAUCUAAUCAAGGAGAAGUGAGGAGAGCUUUGUAUCUGAAUCAUAUACAUGUAGCAUGUAGUAGAAGUACCAUAUAAUAUGCUAUUGUCUCCUGCUGCUCCACUCUGCAUAUUCCAAGGGGCUGCUUAAGCGAUAUCAAUACAAACUCUGUCAUUAGUUGCCAGCAUUUGGCAAUAAAAUGCUACAUUAAUUUCAACAGCUUCUGAUUGGUACCAAUGACACAAUCUUUAAAAAAAAAAAUCCAACUCAACUGUUGAUGGCAGAACAAAUAAAUUAAACAAUAAGAAUAGGUUUUCAACAAAAUAUUUCAACUUCAAACUUUCCAAGACUUGGAUUUUAAGGGACAUACACAGUAUUGAUUUGCUAGACACAGAAGAGUCUGGACCUGGGUAAAUGCUACUGUGGAGGGGGGGGGGGGUUGUUCAGCUCUGGAGAUACACUCUCUGUGUUCAGUCUGGUUGCUUAUAUCAUAAAGUCCAGCCCAUGGAGAGAAAACCUCAGUACAAAGUAAGGAACAGAAACACAAGUGAACACCUUCAUUUCAAGGACGACAAAAAAGUGCCUAGAAAAAAAAAAAAAUUGUGUUUUAAUGAUUCUCUCUCAUUCCUGAUAUGUGAAACCGUAUCAAAGGAGAUCUUUUGUUUUAGUUCCAUGUGUUUCAGCCGUCUCAUGUUUAGAGUAUAAAUUCUGGCAUAAAGAACCUCAGCGAAUCAGAAUAGGCCGUAUGCAGCCCAGUGGCCUCAGUGUCUCAGUGUGCUGCCUAUCGCCUAAGCAUUGUACACUGUACCUGCAGCAAAACGUAUUGUUAGUGCCUUUGUCUCAAUCGCCUUCAGUAUCAGAAGGGGAACUGUGUGAGUUACCGCUCAUGAACUGGGGGCUAUGUCUACCAUAUUUACACAAUGGGCUCUGUGCACUUCCUGUCAUUGCCUCGAGUGUGUUUCCUGCAAUGGGAAACCCGAGAGGCCCCCACCUUCACGCUCUCUAUAUAACAUGUCUCUGAUGCUUUUAAUGAUAUGUAUAUCAAUGAGGCUCCACAAGGGGGCACUGUUGUACUCGAGUAAAAAGCAGCAGUGUUAUCCUCGGAGGCAUGGCUCGUACAGACAGGAUGCAGCCUGUCAGUACGGAGGGAGGGUCAGCAGCGUGCGGUGUAAGAUGUGUUGCUGUGAGCUCUCUCUAUGAGCUACUGCUGAGGCCGAGUACCCUAGCGCUGUGUCGCGCAAGUGGCGCGCCAUGAAAGAUGCACGACCCCAUCAAUGUUAUUAAAAGACUAGAAUGUGAUAUGUUACCAGAAGUAUCAGAAGUAGACUGUGCAACUCCACACCAGCCCGCCCCCCCCCCCCACCCCCGCCGCCAGCCCCACCCUUCUCUUCGCCUGCGUGGCCAGCAUCGCCUGGCAGCAGAGUUUCCCGCUCUCUGCGCUGCGCGGGCGUCUGUGAUGCUCUGGCGGGCGGCUGUGGCAGAGGAGCGCGGCCAGGCGCUAGGUCUCCGGGUUGGGCGUGGCCAGGAGGGGCACGUUGUCCCUCCUCCUCCGGCCCAGCGGGGGGCGCCGGUACUGCUCCCCGUCGGCCAGCGUCUGGGGCAGGGGCUUCCUCUUGCUCUCGGGCAGCAGCAGGAUGGACAGCACGGCCAGCAGGGCCAGGGAAGAGUACACCACGUGGUGGAGGAAGUAGCCGUAGUGAUUCCACAGGUCCAUGAGCGGAGAGCUGAGGCGGCCCACGCAGCCCAGACCCAUGACCAGGCCAACUCCGCUGCCUCUGCAGAGAACAGGUUUACACACACACACACACACACACACAGUGAACCCACGACCACGCCAACUCCGCUGCCUCUGCAGAGAACAGGUUUACACACACACAGUUCAUAUACGCACAGUGAGGGUUCUAUUAAACACAGAGAGUUAGCCAUCAUGCAUGCUAAGAGUGGGCUAGCAUGACAAUUGGAAGGCAUACACACUGAGAGCAGGCUAGUAUACACAAUAAAAAGAAGCUACAAUAUUUCACAGACAGAGAGAGAGGAGAUAUAAACUAACCCAACACUGACUCUGAACUUCCGUUACAACACAUAUAUACAAAAUAUAACCUGAGAGAAAACUGACAAGAAUUUAGAUAAUAUACACCAACUGACAUGAUGAAGAAGGAGAGGGAGAUGCAAGAGAAAGAAGAUAGGAAAAAUAUAGUAACACAUAAUUAGAAGACAAGAGGGGAGCAGUUACCGGAUGACCGUUGGGAUGACCUCAGCUGUGAAGAGGAUGCAGAGGGAGGCUGCGGCCUGGGAGGAGAAGAGGCCGAGCACUGAGAAAACCGUAAUGGCCGACCCACUGAGAUCUGAAAGAGACACGCACACAUGCAGGGAGCCUUUACUCACACAGACUGACUACACAAGCACAGCACCAGGAAUGGGAACAGCAACAACCUGUGAGAAGGUCAGUGCCGCACAACUGCAGGUCCUGCGGGUCAUAGUGUAUGCUGGUAUUUGCUCCAAUUUCACCGAUUACUUUACUUCUUCUUGGUUCAGGAAGUAAGCUCAUUAGUGAAAUCAGGUGGUGCAGUGCAUGGGUGGAGCAAAUACCUGCAGACACUGUGGCCAGCAGGCCCAGGAGUUGAGUAGGCCUGGAGUACAUGGACUCCGCAAUUGUAAUACACUAAUUUGGCCACAUGAUGGUGACAGUUACUUUGACAGAUAAGUGACCCUUCAACCUUGUACAGUACACAAGUCAAAUUUGAUUUUUAAAAGUAAACAACAAUUACAUAAUUUUAUAAACGAAACAACUUCAAAAAAUAUUAUUUAAAAUAGUAAAUAUUAUUAAAAAACGAUCCCUGAAGCCGGCUUUGCAUAUUUAAUCAAGCUUAACCGUGACCACUUACACUCAGUGAGCCCCAGCAGAAUCAGAGAGGCCAGACCUGUCAUCGUCAUUGCCAGAAGCAGGAUGCCACGGCGACCACACCUGUCCACAGUGGCCCACAGCAACAGCCAGGCAGCACCGCCCGCACACACAGAAAGCAGGAGUGCAGGUCUGAGGAUCGCUCUGUGAGAAGGAGCCAGCGUGGAGACUCGGGAAACACACCUGGUGCACUGAGGAGGAGGGACAGUCAGCAACGGACACACUUUCUCAUUUCCUUCCCUUAAGGACACUUUGGGACACUUACUGAUCUCAGGAAGAGAGAGAGAGGUGCAGUCCCUGCUCCAAGCAGUCCCCUCCAGGACUGGCAUCCCAGAGCUACGCCAAGCAACAGCAACUCCCCAGCAACUGUUGCCUUGCUCUCUCACUCACGUGUGAUGUAGAGUGUGAGGUAGACUCCGGCAGUUGCCGCUGCAAGGCAGAACCGUGUGAUGAUGAAGACGGAAGGCGAGGGAGAGACACACACCAGCACUCCAAAAAUAACUGACAGG